AAUUUUGUGGGAUCCUUUAAAUAAGCAUCAGAGGAAAGUGUAUGUACCUGGGUGUUUUGCACAUAUUCAGGGUCCUCUAGCAAAAUAAUUUCGUCAAUACCAUAUAGAGAAACUAUUCUCGAAAUCUAUAUUUUGAGUUAAUACGCGACAACAACGAAUCUUUCAAACCUUCCAGACAAAACUCGUUUUAAGCUGCAAAUUGUAUGCUACAUUUAGACUUGAAAUAGGUAAUGCUAAAGAUAUCGUAUAUC